rnacentral:lncRNA from 1 species
CAUACUUCUCCCAACCAAGCUCCACCUCCUAAAAUCACUCUUAACUAUGAACUUUCCAUGCAUUUUAUUGAACUUGUCUUAGCUAUGAAUUCAUCAAUGCAUCUUAGUUAUGGAAUUAUUAAUGCAUCUUAACUAUGAGCUCUUCAAUGCAACUAAUGUGUACAGUGCCCUCAUGAUCCUAUCACCUCCCAUCCUUAAAGACCCAUCUUUAAACACAUGAAAUUUUGAAAUUUUGGGGGGGACAUUCUAGAUCUAAGCCAUAGAAGGACAAAAAUAGCAUUAUUACUUAUCUAAGAUAGACAUGAGAUUCUUUAAUCAAACCCGUAAUACUUUUCCAAUAUUUAUUCUUUUUAUAUUCAAACUUUAGCAUAGCUGUAAUUAACUAGAAUAGCCAGUAUUAUUUUAUAUAUUAGAUAUUUUCUGAAAGUGCUGUGCAUGAAAAUAUGUUUGGAUUUCAAAACUCUGGAAUACAGUAUUUAUAGAGUUACUAACUAUUUAUGCACUUAUUACUCAAUUCCUUAUUGGGCAAUUAGGUCUUCUGUUGUCCAUCAAAUACCCUCUUGCCCCAAGUGCUAAGUCAAUUAGGCAGGAUAUAUAUAGUACAGUGAUUAAGAAUAUUGUUUUGGGAGCCAGACAUCCUGAGCACAGAGGAACUCAGCAACUUCCUAGUUUGGUGAAUUCGUACAAUAAUAUUAGGAACUGAAGCAACAAGGACAACAAUAAUUCCUGGUGUUACUUGAAGAACACUUGAUUUCCCAGCAGUAUUCUGUGUGCUCUAGACAAACUGACUUAAUCUUCCAACAACCCUUUAAGGGAGGUCUCACUAUGUAGAUCAGGGUGGCCUUGAACUCAGAGAUGAUCCUCCUGCCUCAACCUCCUGAGUGCUGGAAUUACAGCUCUGACAGGAGGAAGUAUGAACGAGUCUGAUAGAAUCUGAGCCUAGAAUAGACACACAUCAUUUGUAGUCACAUUCUGUGGUGGAAAAUAUCACCUUGCUAUAUUUGACUGUAAAAUAGUUGGAGCAUUUAAUUCAACUGUAUAUGUAGAAGAAAAUGGAGAGUUGGGUAAGUUGUUGGGUAAAUUUUAACUAUUUCAUUUACAAAAUUUCCCUUGUAUUUCCAGGGAUGAGAUGCCCUUUAUUUGUAAUGCAUAAAUUCUCCCCACCUUCAUUGAUAAGUGAUGAAUAACUGACAUAUCAUAUGCUAGGAAAAUUAGAUUUGGAUUCCAGGAAUUAGAAAGUGAAAUUCCAAGGCAAUCUUUGUGACUGGUAUUACACCCAUUUAAUUAGUGAGGUUCCAGGACAGAGGGGCCAGGGGUGAGAAGAAAAUAACCCAAAAGAAUACCAAAAGGUCUGGGUGUCUGUUGAUUUUCCAAUUUCUGAUCCCAGACCCCUUCCAAACACUGAAGAGUUAGUCAUAUUGAUGAAAUGAACUCAUACCCUUUAAGUCCCCUUUUGAUUAAGGUAACUCAUGC